AUCUCUUGUUUACUUGGAUAACUGUGGUAAUUCUAGAGCUAAUACACGCACCAAAGCUUUGACCUUAUGGGAUGAGCGCAUUUAUUAGAACAAAACCAAUCGGGCUUGUCCCGUUUGUUGGUGACUCUGAAUAACUACGUUAAUCGCAUGGUCUCGAACCGGCGAUGCAUCUUUCAAGUGUCUGCCUUAUCAACUUUCGAUGGUAGUUUAUGUGCCUACCAUGGUUGUAACGGGUAACGGAGAAUAAGGGUUCGACUCCGGAGAGGGAGCCUGAGAAACGGCUACCACAUCCAAGGAAGGCAGCAGGCGCGCAAAUUACCCACUCUCAGAACGAGGAGGUAGUGACGAAAAAUAACGAGACGGAUCUCUUUGAGGCCCGUUAUCGGAAUGAGAACAAUUCAAAUCCUUUAACGAGGAUCUAGCGGAGGGCAAGUCUGGUGCCAGCAGCCGCGGUAAUUCCAGCUCCGCAGGUGUAUAUCUAUGCUGCUGCGGUUAAAAAGCUCGUAGUUGGAUCUGCGUGCUUGGAACUGGUUGGCUCACUGAGUUCAAACUGGUCUCCAGCACUUCAAUUGCUGGUUUUCCCUUGAUGCUCUUAACCGGGUGUUUUGGGUGGCUGGCGCUUUUACUUUGAAAAAAUUAGAGUGCUCAAUACAGGCGCAAAGCCUUGAAUAGUGGUGCAUGGAAUAAUAGAAUAGGACCUUGGUUCUAUUUUGUUGGUUUUCGGAACAUGAGGUAAUGAUUAAGAGGGACAGACGGGGGCAUUCGUAUUGCGACGUUAGAGGUGAAAUUCUUGGAUCGUCGCAAGACGGACGACUGCGAAAGCAUUUGCCAAGAAUGUUUCAUAAUCAG
rnacentral:rRNA from 1 species